GCCUGGCUGGCUCAGUUGGAAGAGCAUGUGACUCUUGAUCUUGGGGUCAUGAGUUAGAGCCCCAUGUUGGGUG
rnacentral:tRNA from 1 species